rnacentral:rRNA from 1 species
ACGGCUCACCAAGGCGACGAUCCGUAGCUGGUUUGAGAGGACGACCAGCCACACUGGGACUGAGACACGGCCCAGACUCCUACGAGAGAGCAGCAGUGGGGAAUUUUGGACAAUGGGGGAAACCAUGAUCCAGCCAUCCCGCGUGUGCGAUGAAGGCCUUCGGGUUGUAAAGCACUUUUGGCAGGAAAGAAACGUCGCGGGUUAAUACCUCGCGAAACUGACGGUACCUGCAGAAUAAGCACCGGCUAACUACGUGCCAGCAGCCGCGGUAAUACGUAGGGUGCAAGCGUUAAUCGGAAUUACUGGGCGUAAAGCGUGCGCAGGCGGUUCGGAAAGAAAGAUGUGAAAUCCCAGAGCUUAACUUUGGAACUGCAUUUUUAACUACCGGGCUAGAGUGUGUCAGAGGGAGGUGGAAUUCCGCGUGUAGCAGUGAAAUGCGUAGAUAUGCGGAGGAACACCGAUGGCGAAGGCAGCCUCCUGGGAUAACACUGACGCUCAUGCACGAAAGCGUGGGGAGCAAACAGGAUUAGAUAACCUGGUAGUCCACGCCCUAAACGAUGUCAACUAGCUGUUGGGGCCUUCGGGCCUUGGUAGCGCAGCUAAC